GGUGGUGGAAAGUUUUUCGGUACGAGAUGGGCCCGCGGCCUAUCAGCUUGUUGGUGGGGUAAUGGCCUACCAAGGCGACGACGGGUAGCCGGCCUGAGAGGGCGACCGGCCACACUGGGACUGAGACACGGCCCAGACUCCUACGGGAGGCAGCAGUGGGGAAUAUUGCACAAUGGGCGCAAGCCUGAUGCAGCGACGCCGCGUGAGGGAUGACGGCCUUCGGGUUGUAAACCUCUUUCACCAGGGACGAAGAGUGAUUGACGGUACCUGGAGAAGAAGCACCGGCCAACUACGUGCCAGCAGCCGCGGUAAUACGUAGGGUGCGAGCGUUGUCCGGAAUUACUGGGCGUAAAGAGCUCGUAGGCGGUUUGUCGCGUCGUUCGUGAAAUCUUGAUGCUUAACAUCAAGCGUGCGGGCGAUACG
rnacentral:rRNA from 1 species